CCUCUUAUAUGUGGAAGGAGACUAUGUUACAUACCUGAAGUAUUACUCUUUUACAAAGAUACCAUUAGAAUUUUCUCACUGUCUUGGUAAAAAUUCCUAGAUUCUACUUUUUAUUGCAAGUGUUAGCAAUAUGAUCUUGUAACGCCAUGAAAAGCAUUAAGUAGAAGCCAACAUUAACCUAGAUUUUACAACUGAGCAAUCUGUUCCCCACCAGAUUUCCUUUAGAAUUUAUUACCAAAGGAUCUUAUUUUGUUACAGAACACAGGAAAUUGUUAAACCUUAUAAUGUUGCAAACCAUGCAUUUUCCUUUUCUCUUUUCCAUAAGAUUUUUUUAUUGUAGUAGUGCCCUGGCUUGUAAACAGUGGACAUCACUGAAAGGAUGAAAUCAAGUAGGCUUGUUUCAAAGAGACUCCUGUGAAUCAACUAUGAAUAUGAAGUAUCUCCCAGAACAAUGUUGAGUGUUUCAGGAGACUCUGAAACAGGGCACCCAUUUUUUUUUUCCUUCCUCAAAAUAGUCUCCUUGAAAUGUGAGCAAAGAACUAUGAUGAUGCAGUCCAGGUAUCUAAUAGCUCAAUCACCAACACCGCUGAGAAUUGUUCUUAUACCAGCAAAAAGUUCAAAUACAAUAACCUGGGCAAUGCCAACAGAAGACACUUUUAAUCAUUUGCAGACCUUUCUUGUUGCAGGAAAGUGAGGGCAAAAACAAACUGGUGAAAAAUGUUCAAAAAUAGAUCUUUUUGAUGUUCAUAGCCAGUAUUCAGUAUUUCUGUAUUGUUUACAAUUGGGGGAAAAUGUCUGUUAAGGCUAAUCAUCUGAGUGAUUUGAGUAGCAAUUAAACCAAAGGGAAACUUUUAAUAAGUUAUUUUAAGCCCUGGUUUAUGGCUAGUUCCCUUUUGCUCAGGAAAAAUAGUACUACUUUAUGGUUUAUGAAAACCUAUGAUUUAUGUUGCAUCUUCCGGGGAAGGUUUAACAGUACAAGGAGCUGAAUCCUACCUGAAAUUAUUAAUGCUUAAUAUAUUGCUUCUGUUUGAUUGAUAAAGGUGCUUAAUCAAUUGAAAAAAAAACGCAUAAUGCUUCAAGGUAAAAUUCCGUUGAUUCUGAAUUUAAAAAGAUACUACAGAAUGCGUCAGUUCUCCUGUUGUAUUUUUCUCAGUUAUGAGAGCAAGGCUAUUUUGUCAGUUUAGAUUUUGUGUCUUUUUCUGUCAGUAUGUAUGGCUCCCUAAUUGAAAACAUCUUAAAUGAACUAAUCAAACACUUAUUGUGUGAAAGCUGAAUACUUUAAAAAGCAACCUUAAUUAUAAACUCAUCUUGGAGUAGCAUGCAAAUGUGCUAAAGUUAUUUAAAAAACAUAUACUUAGGCAAGAAGUAGAGGACAGCCCCAGAAUGGCUACAAUGAAUGGAAGGAAAGUCUGUAUACACACAUAUAGCUCAAGAACAAGUUUUUAUUAUGCAUGGGUUUCGCAGUGAUACAAGACACCUGCUCACAACUUACAGUAUUAAUUUUUUAGAAAAACAAAACAGGUAUAUGGCAUGAGUGAAACAGUUCCCCAUUAAAAGCACUUAAAACCUAUGACAUGGCUAGUAAGAUGUAAAAUAUUAAGUCCCCUUGGGGUCUUGCAAACUUGUAUUUCCUAACAAUUUGGAAGCCAUGAUGAUAGUCUGAAGCUAAAGGAACUCCAAUUUCUUGGUAUGAUACUAAAUAAAGAUUCUUAUCUUUUGGGAGAAAGAGCCAAAACAGAAGGGUGUGAAAGCAGUGAAUUUCCCCUCCUAUGACAAUAAAGCAAGAGGGCAGAUUAUAUUCAUGAAUGCUUCUCAUAUACAAAAAAUUCCUCCAUACCAGGAAGGAGAGUAUUGACCAGUUUAUCUUUAAAAAGAAAAUGAGUAAUUCUGGAGAAAUGUAGCUUGUUCAUUCACCUACAGACUAUGGCUACAAAGCAAUGAAAUGGACUUCUAAAGAGAAAUUGCUCAAUUGCUUUUAUACUAAACGUUAAAUGUAACUAAUGCUGUAGAAAACUGUUUAAAACAAAUGGAAAUUGUCUAGUGAUAAUGUACAUGAAUCUUGUUUUCUUGGAAUUUUCAUUCUAUGGUGACAUUUUUUUAACUUUCAAAACCUGAAAUGAAAAUUCUGCAGGAUUUGGAUGUGUACAGUCCUACGUUUCUAUAAUGUCUUAAUAGAAAAAUAAAUGACAGGUAACGUUGUUAUAAAAGAAACUCUCAUAUAAAUUACACCAACAUAGC
rnacentral:lncRNA from 1 species